AAAUCAUUCAAGCCGUGUCUCCUCCGUCUCCCUUUCUUUCUUCCUUCAAUCUUCUCUUUCUCCUCCCUUCUCGAUGCCAGCUCCGACUUACCUGCACCAAUCGAAUUAUAGCUUUUCCCAUGAACACGACACUACAACUAGGAUCUUCUAUUAAGGUAUUCAUUUCUUCCCUGACGGCAUAGUUCGAGCCUCUCGCCUUCUCGACAAUGAAAUCCAAAUACACAAGGUUUUUCUGUCUUUCUCUCUCUUCCUGCGUGAGAAAUUAGAUUACAACUUUGUCUUGUUACGUAAUAUACGAUUUAAUUUCUUUAGGAAGAGUUGCAGAGAACAAAUCUGGCGAUUUGAAUUUCUGUGGGUUAAUAUUAAAUUAUGUGAGUUUCUUUUAAUGCUACUAAAAUAAGUUAAAUGGUCUCUGGUUUACCAAUAGUUUAGGGAAUAGGUAACUGGUGUAAUGUACAAGAUUUUGGUUAAUUUUGGCAAUGGUAGUGGUUAAUUUUGGUUGGUGGUUCAUGGUGGUGGUGUUGAUUUUGGCGGUGGUUGAUGGUGUUGGUGGCAGUGAUUGGUGGUGGUGUGUAUUUUGGUCGGCUUUGUGGUGG
rnacentral:lncRNA from 1 species